rfam:Schistosoma mansoni, Puerto Rico, WGS project CABG01000000 data, contig: 0080
AUUCAGAUGAUGAGUUCCGGAAUAGGACGAAACGCACGUCUUGGAU